rnacentral:tmRNA from 1 species
GGGGCUGACCGGUUUUGACAGUAAGUGUAAAGAUCGGGCUCGCAUGCAGGCUGGAGUAUGUACGGCCUUGAAAGAUUCAUACGAACGAUAAAUGGCGAAACUUCUUACGCCAUGGCUGCAUAAUCUAACCUCAAGAGGAUAGAUCGCUUAAAGGGUUGAGUCCGCAAGGCGGAUUCCCCAGCCACAUCUCACCGUCUGUUGUCUGAUCCGGGCGGAUUCGAGGUGUCGACUUGAUCGGGCUGCGGCUUGUGAUGCGAUUAUGCGAGCUUAAGUUUUAAUCGCUAAGCCAGACUCAGGUGUGUCACCCAGCAUAGUCUGGUCGAAAACCCAAUCGGUGACUAAGCAUGUAGACGGUACGGUGUUUCCUUAUCUGGACGCGAGUUCGAAUCUCGCCAGCUCCACAC